rnacentral:rRNA from 1 species
UGAACGCUGGCGGCGUGCUUAACACAUGCAAGUCGAACGGAGUUUUAACGGAAGUUUCGGAUGGAAGUUAAGAACUAGUGGCGGACGGGUGAGUAACGCGUGGGUAACCUGCCUCAUACAGGGGGAUAACAGUUAGAAAUGACUGCUAACACCGCAUAAUAUAGUGAAACCGCAUGAUUUUUGCUAUCAAAUAUUUAUAGGUAUGAGAUGGGCCCGCGUCUGAUUAGCUAGUUGGUGGGUAAAAGCCUACCAAGGCGACGAUCAGUAGCCGGCUUGAGAGAGUGACCGGCCACAUUGGGACUGAGACACGGCCCAAACUCCUACGGGAGGCAGCAGUGGGGAAUAUUGGACAAUGGGGGAAACCCUGAUCCAGCGACGCCCGCGUGAGUGAAGAAGUAUUUCGGUAUGUAAAGCUCUAUCAGCAGGGAAGAUAAUGACAGUACCUGACUAAGAAGCCCCGGCUAACUACGUGCCAGCAGCAGC